UCCCGUCAUUCUCUUGAAAAAUCAAUAGUGUCCUUCCUCACUCUCAAAAUUACUUAUUCCCAAAAAAACUCUCUCAAUGCUCUACUAAUCUUCUUCACUUUCUUUCGAAAACUUUGUCUCCACAAUACUUCAAAUUGAAAAAAAAUGUUUGACCUAAACGACUUUCCAAUUGAAGAAUUCGAUUUGAAUGAAGAACAAUUUGAUGAAACUGAAAUACAGUUGGAUUUCAUGCAAAUUGAAGUUGGUGAAAAUCAGAUUGAAGGAGAUGAAAAUUCAGUUGGAUUAACAAGCCAAGGUUCUACAAGUUGUAUUUUAAAUGAAGGUAUUUGUGUUCUUCUUUCAGGGUCUUAGGAUUAGGGGUCAUGUGUUCCAGCACACAGAAGGUUGCACCACAGUGACAACGAACGAACAUUUAAGUGGCUCUUUGUUAAGUGAAACUCGAGGGACACUUGAAGAGAUGUUUGAACUGUACAAACAACAUGUGUCUUUAGUUGGUUUUAGCAUUUGAAAGGGAAAACAUCGAAUGAAACAAGGAACUUCUGAAGUCAUUGAGAAGUACUAUCUGUGUUCGCCUGCUGGAACUAGGAACACAGAGAAGAAGGUCCUGAAAGGAACACAAAAUCAUGAUACAGAGGGUACAGAAAAAACGAAAAUAAGAAAAGAAAGACGAGUGGCAAUAACUAGAACCGGAUGUAAUGCGUGCAUAAGAGCAAAGAAGAAUACAUUUGGACUUUUUGAGGUCAUGGACCAUGUUAUGGCACACAAUCACCCAAUGACCAGAACACAAUGGAACUACCGACAUCGUUCAGAACGAAAAAUGUCUUGAUCAUAAGAAAGAGGCAAUUGAGACAAUGCAACUAGCUGGACUAUAACCAAUGGAAUCAUAUAGGCUCUUGUCUGCUGAAGCUGGUGGUGAGGAUACAAUAGGUCACACCAUGAAAGACCAUCCGAACUUCUGCCACAAGCUAAAAAUGAAGAAAAUUGAUGGUGGUGAUGCGAAUUCUGUAAUUGAACAGCUUGACCAGAAACUUUCUGAUAAUCCAGACUUCUUUUAUCGAGUUAGACUCGAUGAAGAAGGUAAGAUUUGUUGUAUAUUUUGAUGCUAUGAUGUUGGAAGAUUCUAAAAUAUUCGGUGAUGUUUUUGUAAUGGACACAACUUACAAGAAAGACAAGUAUAAUCUCAUAUGCGCCCUCUUUGUUGGUUUUAACAACCAUUGGAAGAACACAAUGUUUGCUUGUGCAUUUAUGGGAGAUGAGACUGUUGAGUCGUUCGUAUGGCUUCUUAAUAUUUUUAAGAAGUCAAUGGGCGGAAAGUGUCCGUGACCAUAUUUACAGAUCAAGAUGCAGCCAUGUCUAACGCAAUAAAAAAGUGUUUUCCUGGAUCAAGGCACAGAUUAUGCCUCUGGCAGAUAAGGUUAGAAUGCUGUUAAGCGAUAUGGUGCACUAAAGAAGGACGCUACAUUCAAGAAAACCUUCCAGAAGUGCUUAAGUGGAUGCUCGAACAAGGAUGAGUUUGAUGUGUGUUGGAAGUCUAUGAUAACAACAUAUAAGCUAGAGAAUAACAAAUGGUUCAAAAGGUUGUAUAAUCUGAAGGAAAAGUGGGCAACAGCGUUAAGUAAAGACUUCUUCUCUUCCGGGAUUUUAUCUUCACAGAGAAGUGAAAGCUCAAACCGUGCUGUUGGUUUUCGAGACGAUAAUAGGACGACCUUGAUUGAGUUCUUCCAUAUAUUUGAAGACACAAUGAUACGUUGGAGAAGGUCGAAAAUUGAUGAUGAGUUUCACUGUACAAAAUCAGUUCCAAAUUCACAUAUGCCCUUGAUUGGGCUGCUGGAGCAUGCCUCGGAGGUUUACACGGAGACACUUAUUCGUGAUUUUGAGAAUGAAUUUACACAUGCCAUGGUACAAUAGUAAAUUAAGUACAUGAGCAUGGCGUUACACAUGGUAACAAGUACCAAGUCAUAUUUCCCAGCAUUGAACAACACUCCUCGCAUGAAGUGACAUACAAUGUGGAUACAAUAACGUGUUCAUGUAAGAAUUUUGAGGAGUCUGGAUGGUUAUGCUACCACAUCAUAAUAAUUUUGCAUAUGUUUUCUAUUGUGAGGAUUCCGGAACAGUACAUCAUGUCAAGGUGGACAAAAUUUGCAAAGAAAGAUGUAUGGGAUAGAGUGGAUGCCAAAAGUAAAGAAUUGGGGUUGAUCAAUAGUUACACACUGUGGCGCCCUCAAAUGGCAAGAAAAUUUUAAAUCUCAUUCUCAAUUGCCACACAAAUGAAGAGGGCAGGAGUUAUUUAGAAGAAAAAUACAAGCUAAUGGUAGCGGAAACCAAUGCUUUAUUGACAAAGCCUGUAGAAGUUGAGAAUGAAAUUGGAGCUGAAACUGCUGAUGCUACAUUGGUACAUACAACAAAUCAAAUGGUUGAUGUUCUUCCUAGGCCAAGUGUUCGUGAUCCAAAUGUUUCAAAGACAAAAGGUAGCAGUGGCAAAAGAAUGAAUGGAGCUUAUGAUCACUACAAAAAGGGAAGCAAGAAUAUGAAGGGGAAGGGAAAGGCACAUGAGGAAUUUGGUUCCAAAACUCCAAAUGUACGCUUGAUUUAAUAUCUAGCACACUUUGUCCAUCACUUUGAAUGUUUUGUCCACCAAAUUUUACCCUUUACUGUCAACACACUAAAAAUAUUACCCUCCUUUUUUCCAACAUUGGUUUGUAAUGCAACAAAGAACAUCAUUUAUUUUCAAGAUUAUAAUUAAAGUGACCCCUUUUUUUUUUAAUGUUACCCCUCAUGUAAUACGAAGU